GGACAUCAAAGCAAUGAGAACCAGGAAUCCAGACAAGCCAAGAGCAUUAUUGAAGAUAUUUCUUCUAAAGCGUUGGCAAGCAAAUCUCAAACAAAGACAUAUUCUGGUGUAACUCCAGAUAAAAGCCAAGAGUACACUCCAGAACGACACUCGUUACCCAAUCAAGCAAUGUCACAAAAGACAAUUUCUGAAGCAAUCAUCCCAUAUGCAAAGAAAGGUGAAGCAGAACAUACGCUCAAGGCUCAGGACUCUCCUAUGCAUUUUGCCUCCAGUGACAUCAACCCGUUUGUUCACCAAUGGCAGGGAGGUGACUCAAACCAAAACGGCUAUAAAAACCCAUCAUUUGGAAGUGCUGCUGACCUCUCCUGUAAAUCUCCGCUUCUGAACAGCACAGAGAAACGAAUCACAAGAUGCUGCAGUGUUGACAAUGGUUUGAAUGGGCAGAACUCGCCUUUCAAUUCUCACCUGAGCACUUAUGCCACCAACAAGGGGCUCUCAAGCACGCUUAGCAGUAUAGAGGAUUUUAAGGAAGAAAAGAGCAAAACAUCUCAGCCCUGUCAGCAAGAAUCUGUUGAAACACACAAUCUUCAGGCCAACCUAACAGUGACUGAAAGUUCCUCAAGUUAUGAAGCUCCUGGUGGGAUUGGCAACAAUUCCAGUCAGGUGGAUGAACUUGUGUUUGUUUACUCCAAACAAGAGUGUGAGGCUGGCAAAACACAGGCCCAAAGAAGGAGGAUGUGUGAACAUGGAACUCAAACUGACCAUGGCCUUCAGACUGAUAAUGCUGGCAACAAUGAUUGUGCUCUGAAAAGGAAAGAGCGCCACAAAAGGAGCAAAACAGAUGUACCAACAACACAGAAAGUCAAAGCGGACAUUAAAGAAUCCCAAACAUGGGCAAGUAUGGAAAGCAUGUCUGCUCAACUUUCAAAGCUGAUCCACAGCACUUCAGACCUGCUUGGGGAUGUCCAGGGAAUGAGGACAGGAGAGACCCUCAAUUCCACUCCGAAGAGGAGUUUUAAUUUGUCGAAUAUCAACUUGUCUUAUAGCGAGUCUAUUGGCUGCACUACGAGAGACUGCUCAACUCAAACAUCCAUAGAUGUUGGAAUCCAGACAGAUAGAUUUCCUUCCACAGAAAAGAAGGAGGUCACGUUCAUCAAACACCCAAGGAGCAGUUCAAAUCUCAUGAAGUCAAUGUGAUAGUCAAAGUUAUUGGCUCUGAGGUUGUCAGUGUGUCUCAAUGUCCGGUAAAGAAUAAGGAUACAGAUGAGAAGAUGCAGAAUAUGCCGAGCUGGAGGUGUACAAAUUCUUCUGCAGCACAAAGGUCUUCUUCCCAAUCAGAGAAUGGCCCAUCAUCUCCUUUGAGGCCUGCUGGUGAAUGUCAAAGACGUGUAAAAACUGCUUCUUCCAGAGUCUCAAAGCACAGUCCACCUGAGGCCCUGUUCAAGAAAAGUGAAACAACAUCUGAUAUCGUCCGUAGAUCAUCAAAAAACCCAGAAUAUCCCAGCACUUGUCUGAGAAAUGAACUAAAGAAAGCUACAUACACAGACCGUGCAUCGUCUCCAAUACUGACCAUGGCAGCAAGAUUACACAUGAAACAGAAAGGAAAUCAAUCAACACAGAGUCCUUCACAAAGUUCUAAUAAAGGUAGUUAUCCUGAAGAAGACAGCCUCACUUUGCCCUCAAGCAAACUGUCAGGAUGCACAUCUGUGUCAGAGGCUGAUCAAAUGUCCACACAGGAUUGUGAUAUGUCCUCUUGUAAAUCAGAAUCCAUAUCACUUGAGAAGGUGAGUGAAAUGACUUGCUCAAGCCCUAAAGACUCGGAUAAGGGCUGUGUAAGCCUAACUUCUUCUCUGGAUGUCUAUACAGACACCAACACGAGAAAUGUUUCCUAUAAAGGUGACGGAUCCAAAAGGCUCAUGGAGGGUAGCACUUCAACAGAAGGUUUAACUAUGCAGGAUCAACUCUCUCCCAGAUUUAGACCAACUGAUUGGCACAAAGCUAGACGACCAGAAACAACGAGCUUCACAAGUGCUGCAGUUGAGUCAGUAGAUUUUUGCGUCGAUUCCUACAAUCCAUCUCCAGUUAGAAACCAGACUGUUCAACUUCAAGAAGACGACAUGGUGUCCCUGGCACCCAGCGAGUGCAAUACAGAUGUUCUCGUGAACACUGAACCGAUCAACAGCCUGUCCCCAUGUCAGGACCAACAGAUCGCCCCCGAGGACCUACCCAUACACAACAAGUUCAACAACUGGUCAGGCAUCAGUCACCAACAGUCCAAACCCUCCAAGAAACAGGCUCCAUUGCUUACCAAAGACAACGUCAACGGCAGGAAGUGUGCCGAGUGGUGCGAGAUGGAGAGUUACGUCUCGCAUGUAGAAUCCAUGGUGCAGAGCGACAGACGGGUGAGAGAGAUAGAGAGGCUGCGACAGGAGAGAGAGCAAGUGAUGGCGACAGUCAACCUCCGCAUGAACCCUACACCGCUGACUGUGGAGCUCACGGAGGCCAAGCUACAUUACAGCCUCGGAGAGACGGAUACACUGUUGAAGAUGCUGUCCCCCAGGUCCACAGAAGAAUUGGAACCAACAACCUCGGCCCCAACCAAACAGCAGCUGUAUGAUAGACAUCGCAGGAGUAUUGAGGGUUUGAGACAGAAGAGGGAGGACCGUCUCCAGACUUACCGGAGAGCUCGUAGUCUGAGUCCAAGCAAACAUCUUCACUCCUCUCUGCAGGAGGCCUUUUCCUCCUCCAAGGUGUCUGCCGCCAUGCCCAGUCAGCAUAAAGAGUACCUUCCACAACUGCGCCAAGAUGGGGUAGACAGCACCAGAACACAAGACCCACCCCGGGGAGAGGGCCAGUGCCCAUCUGACAUCGAGCAGCUGCUGCGGGACUACGGGCGAGCCCGGGAAGAGGCCAUGACAGAGAUUGCGAAGGCUCGAGAACGACUGCGAGAGAGGACUGAGCAGGAGAAGAAGAGGCUUCAGCAGCAGGCACUGUCACAGGAAGUUAAGGAUGACCCGAGGCAUCGGACAAGAAUCAGUAACAGCACUCUGUGCACUGGAUCCAGCCUGAGCCUCUCCUCUGGACCAACAUCAGGUACAACAGCGGCAACACUGCCCACCUACAACAAGGCAACAGAACUCAUCUAAAUGGACAGCUCUCAGGGCUGCAGGAUGAAGGGCUGAAGGUCAGGACACGUCCUCCUGUAUGUGGUCCUCAAAGUGUGAAGGCACAGAGAGUCUGGCUGUCUGCCCACGAUGUUCGCCAUGAGCCUUCUGUCACCGGGUUUGAGCCGCUGAUUCUUCAACUCCAUCAGUCACAACUCGUCCACGUCAACGCACCGCCUCCUUUGGCUCCUCCUCCUCGAUAUCCACAACGUAUCAGGAUAUCACAUCCAGCCUCCUCGGUCGAGCUCUGGC